rnacentral:rRNA from 1 species
GUAGGUGGCAAGCGUUGUCCGGAAUUAUUGGGCGUAAAGCGCGCGCAGGUGGGUUCUUUAAGUCUGAUGUGAAGGCCCCCGGGCUCAACCGGGGAGGGUCAUUGGAAACUGGGGAACUUGAGUGCAGGAGAGGAAAGUGGAAUUCCACGUGUAGCGGUGAAAUGCGUAGAUAUGUGGAGGAACACCAGUGGCGAAGGCGACUUUCUGGCCUGUAACUGACACUGAGGCGCGAAAGCGUGGGGAGCAAACAGGAUUAGAUACCCUGGUAGUCCACGCCGUAAACGAUGAGUGCUAAGUGUUGGGGGGUUUCCGCCCCUCAGUGCUGCAGCUAACGCAUUAAGCACUCCGCCUGGGGAGUACGGUCGCAAGACUG